GACGUAGGGCGCGAGCGUUGUCCGGAUUUAUUGGGCGUAAAGAGCUCGUAGGCGGCUUGUCGCGUCGGCUGUGAAAACCCGCGGCUCAACUGUGGGCGGGCAGCUGAUACGGGCAGGCUGGAGUUCGGUAGGGGAGACUGGAAUUCCUGGUGUAGCGGUGAAAUGCGCAGAUAUCGGGAAGAACACCCGUGGCGAAGGCGGCUCUCUGGGACGGUACUGACGCUGAGACGCGAAAGCGUGGGGAGCGAACAGG
rnacentral:rRNA from 1 species